GGAUAAGGGGACACAUUGCAGGGGGGUCUCUCUCUGCUGAGCUCUCCCUUGGUUUUCCCAGUGCCUUUUUUCCUUCGUUUCUUGCUGGCAAAAAGCUCGGUUGUUGUUAUAGCAACCUCAGUGUGGUUAAGUCUCUGGAGGCAAGGUUUAUAGGGAGAGACAAUAUAUUUUAUUAGACUGCCUGAUAAAGCUAAAAGAGGAAUAUAAAAGAGAAAGAAAAAAAAAAAAGAAAAAGAGGGGAAGAGCAGCUCCCUGGUUCACAAGCUCGUUGCAGGUCCCCAGAGCUGUGGGCAGAGGGGAACAAAGCAGGUACAGAGGACAAGGAAGUGACACUUGGGGACUUGUAGGCAUCAGAGAAGGGGCAGAGCUGGCACAGGCUUGGCCAGGCUGGCAGGGCAGCAGCCCAAUAGCCAAGCAGUUCCAAGGAUGCUAAAUCUGGUUUUAUCUGGUGCGAAGUAGCGACUCAGUGGGAAAAGAGACUCGUAAUCAGUGUUGUCUCUCCCUGCCAAAUGCCAGCACUGUGCUGGUUUGCCUUCACUGCCCCAGUGCCUUCACAGCAUCCUUCAGGCUGCUGCAAGAACCACUGCAUCCAGUGCUAGAAUGACUCCAGUCCCCCUGAUGCUCUGUGCAUCUGAUUUUAACCUCUGGUGAAGCUGCUUAGAGCAGACUUUGCUAUCACUCAGCCUCUGUUCCUCUUGGGUACUCUCCCCACGUGAUGUAUCAAAGGCAGCAGAAAACACUCAUGGUCUGAUCCCCAGCCCAUUUCCAGCCCUUGGCUGUGCCUGCUGGCUCUCAGCUCGUCUCCCAGUGCCUCUCCAGCAGCACUGUCUCCCUGCUCAGAUCCCACCUGAUCUGCUCUGCUCCUCAGCAUCUGAUCCUGGCAUCCAUCAAACCAAGCCACUGCUUUAAGGUGCCUCAUCCCUCAAGCAGACAGCUCCUGAUGUUGGUACCUCCUCAUCAAUCAGUCUGGAGAAAACCCACUUUCCAUACAGCUGCUGCUCACCUGAAUGGGAUCUACUUCAUGUGCUGAACUGUCAUUCAGACUGGCAGUUUUGAGUUAAAUUCAUGGCUUGAUGAUAAUUUUAUGUAAACACUGAACUCAGGGCAAAAAGCUUUGCCAGCAGUGAUGUAAGAGAUCUUGUCUUGCUGCCUGGUGUUUCUAAACUUCAGUGUUGCUCAAUGGGUAAUGACAGAGGAAGGACAGAUGGCUGGGAAGAGCUGAUGUACUUCUGUCCCCCCAGCUACAGGUCUGCCUGGAAGGGUGGCUGUGUGCCCUCAGCAGAAAGCACAUCUAGGAAAAGGGGAACUCUGCUGGGUGAGUCACAGGAUGCACUAACUCUGUGCAGUGUUUUCUCCUCUGCCACCAAAUCCUUGUGCGACCUUGGUCACAUCACUUCAUCUCCUGGCACAUCCAGUUCCCUACAUCCAAAACAUCCCUUUUGCCUGUUUAUUUCCACUCAGACUCCCAAGUUUUGUUGGAACAGCUUCCUGCCAUGCUUUGCACCCACAGAUGCCAACACCUCUGGGUCCCUGCAUCACUCUGAGCACUGAUGUAGCAAAACCCAGAGUGCCUGGCUUUCAAAUGCCCUUUAAAAUGUGAGGAUCAAGAUGUAUGUCCUUACUCCUAUUUAUUCCUUCCACCUGCUGCUGCUACCUUUUUCCCUGUGGGGAAUAAUGAGGCAAAAUAUUUCAUACAGAAUGGGCUCUCUCCUUUUCUCUCCUCAGCACUUAGCACCUGCUCAUUAAUGAAUGUACACCCUGCACAUCGACUGGGGCUGGUGCUGAAUUGAACUUUGAAUGCCUUUUCAGUGCCAUAGCCUAGUUAAUAAUUACUUCUAUGACUCACUCAACUCCAUGCUGCUGGAGCACCAUUAGGAGAAUUGACAGCAAAAUAACAGAAACAUUAAACCUAAUGAUUUUGCGAGUGUUAAAGUGCUCCCAGUGUCACCAAAGAAGAGCCUUUCCCUCUGGCAGUUGUCUCCCCCACUCCCAGGGGGUGUUUUUUUCCCAUCCCUGGCAUCACAGAGGCACAUCAGCUGGCUGGUCCUUUGAGGUUUGGCAGCAGGAGUGUGGGGUGCCCACGUGUGCCAUGUGUGCACAGGCAGAGACCAGCCCCAUUUCAGAAUGGAAUCAUAGAAUCUACUGGGCUGGAAGGGACAUUAAACAUCAGCCAGCUCCAGCCCUGCUGCCAUGGGCAGGGAUGCCACCCACUAAACUGGGCUGGUCAGGGUUCCAUCCAGCCUGGCCUCCAGCACUUCCAGGGAUGGGGCAUCCACAGCUUCCCUGAGCAGCCUGUUCCUGUUCCUCAUCACCUUCUGAGGAAGGAAGUUCUUCUUAACAUCUAAAUCUCUCCUCUUUUAGCUUUAAAAGAACUUCUUCCAUCCUGUUCCAUCACUAUCAGCCUGUUGCAGAUAAGAAGUUUCUCUGACAAUUUUAUUCCCAUCAGCAAACUGUGACAAGUUCAGUUUCAGUGUGGUCUGGCAUCUCCCCACUGCCCCUACAUCCUGGAAUUCCCCUCCACCAACCAUGCCCUGCCAGAAGCCCACAGGCUCACUGUCAGCAUGCCUAAAUGCUCAGGGAAAACACUCCUGGGUUUUCCUCCCUGUGUCCAGGGACAGAGGGUUACCCCCAGCCUUGCUGUUGGGUCGGUGGUAACUAAUAAUGGGAGUUAGCACCAUUAUCCCAAAGCUUUCUGAAUGUGGCAACAAACCUGAGAGGUUUAAUAAAAGAUUUUGAUUCAAAAGGAAUUUCCCCCACUGGUAUUCCCCAAAGCAAAAGUGUUUCUGUGAAGUAGGCAUUUCCUUUUAUUUUAAGAGGAAAAUUCAAUUUCUCUUUCCUUUUUUGUUAGCCAGCUCCCCCUCUUUGCCUUCAUUGCCACAAAUUCCCUAAUCUCGUUAUUUUUGCGUGUUGGAAAAGUGUAAUCAUCCGAGCCAUGAAAUCGAAGACAACAGCAUCACUUCCAGGGAGGUGACUUAAGUCAGAGGAAUUAAUUCUCCCAGCAGACAGCUCUUAUUUAGAACAAAUGUGAUUUUCAGAACUGAAGCUAUGUAUUUAAUGAGGCUCUAUGAAAACAUACGUAGCCCAGAGCUGCUGGGAAAUUCAGCCCUGUGCCAGAGAAAUGCAUCAAGUCAGGAAAACAACAUCCAACAGGAUCAUCCAGCCAGUUCAUCCCUCAGUUCCCUGCAGAGAAAACCCAUCUCUGUUUUGCUGACCCUCAGAGACUGCUGCUGGAACAAGGGAAUCUACAUACAUUUAUUUGGGGUAUGAAUCUGUCCCACACAAAAGGUGUAUUUGGAGGUUUAAUCAGGAAAAGAGAUGGUGUUUCCUCCCUCUCCUUCAAAGGAAGCCAGCAGACACGAGCAGGUGGAUCUCCACACAACGCAGGAUUAAGGCAUGGAAGUCCUUGUUACAGAUGUUACAGAUAUUGAGAGUUAUGGCUUUAUUCUUUUCCUGGGAAAAGCUGAGCUCCCCAUUUUCAGCCCUGUGCUUCAAUUUCCUUUCUUGCCUGUUAUCUUUCUCUUUACCCAGAGCAGGAGCUGCCCUACUGCCACCCACACAGCAAAACACCAGGGGCAUGGAUGGGGCUGCUGGACAUCUGCAUGGUGUCAGACCACAUUCAGAGAGAUUUCCAGAGACAUAUGGCUAUGAAAAUCCAUUUAUCCAGCAAGGACACAGCAGAAGUUUUGGGGCAGUUGUUGUUUCCAGACAAAGGAUGAGAAAGCAAAGCCAUUUGUAGAUCACCAUGUGGGAUGGAGCUGGAAAGGGAGCCUCAGGGAGCUUUCAGUUCUCUGCUGCCUGGGCUCACCUCUCUGGAGCAAACAGCUCUGCCACUCCCAGGUGCAGCUGUAGCUGCCAGAUAAAGGUUAUUUUUCUCCAGUGAGCUCCACGGCCCUGUGAAAGGCUCCCAGAAAACAACUUUGGCUACUGAUUUGCACAAGCAGCCUUGGUGUGCAGGCAGCAGUGAUAUGCCCAGCCCUGAGCAAGCUGCAUGAGCCAGAUCCCCUGGGUUUGUACGUGUAAAACCUGCCUCCAAAUGGAGACUGCAGAGACCUGGAGACAGCAAAUGGGAUAAAGCAGCAGCUGCUUGCCAUGGGGGAAGGAGGAUCAGCUCCUAAUGAUAGCAUCAUGUUUGCCUGGCUCAGCUGGAGAUGAAAAGAUGAACUAUAGAUCAAACUGAUUUCUCAUGCCGAGGUAACAACAGAGAGGGAUUUGUCUCCAAAAGAAGCAUCUUUUCUGCCUACAUGCCAGCAAAAGAAGUAAUUUUUCUGUCUGACUUUAUAACUUCAUCAAAUAUCCAUCUGGCAGCAGGCCAGAGCACAAUGUAUGAAGUUGUAUUCGCUGUCACAGCAGAUGGAUGGGAGAAACUCCAGUGAAGAUUUCAGCAGGAGAAACCCACUGUGAUGUCUUGGGGAGGGUACACAGAUCCCAGAGGCAUGGCUCAUUAGAAGCAUUGAGGAAUUUGGCUUUUUGGAUUUGAUUGAAAACAGGGGGUCUGACAAGGAGUUGUAGUCCCCAAGCUGCCUUUGAAGUUUGGUCCUUAUGUGGAGACAGAGUUCAGCAAGAUCUUUUUUUAGGGGUGCCUGGAGGAUUGAGUAAUAGAGCAGCACUCGAGCGUUUGGAUCGGAAAUUUCAUCUGGAACCUGGGAAGUUUAUUUCCUGGCAAAAGCAUCAUGAGAACCAGUGUAUUCUCAGGACAGGCCAAUUUCAAGAAAUCAAAAUUUCCAGAUGACUUUGGGCUCCCUGGAAAAACUCCUGGGGACUCUGUGUGCGUGAAUGCCCUGAAAAACCUCAUCUGUCCUCCCAGGCUGACACUGUCUGUGCUCUGAGGCUCCAAAACCAGCUCAGUGUGGGCAGGUCCUGCAGGGACAGGCUCAGGGUGAUGAUGAUGAUGAUGAUGAUGAUGAUGAGUAGCAGGAGAUCUGCUGGUGGAAGCAGUGAGAUGUGCUCUGCCCAGGCUGUGUAAAUGAGAUGAGCAGAGGUGUGGGAAGGAGCCUGUGUGGAGCCAUCCUUGCUGACCAGCCCUGAUGGCCCAGCUGCCUUCUGCAGCCUGGGUGAGCCGUGGUCACCCCCAGACUGGCCACCACUGCAUGAGCUCAAUCUCCAAGACCUUCAAAUUCAUUUUAAGAUUGAAUAAGUCAAGCUCCUGGCCUCCUGAGGAAGUGUGUGAGAGCAAAGUGUGUGAGACAGCAGCAGGGAACUGACACCUGCUGUGGCUUCAAUCACUCUGGGGACAUGUGGCAGGGCCACCCCAAAGGGUGAGCUCCUUGGGGCCAUCAGUCUGGAAUCCAGGAGUUUUAAAGGAAUUCUCAAACCUCUCCCAGAGCAGGUUGUAGUGGGGCUGCUGCAGUGCCCGAGGGUCUCUCCCAGUGCUGAAAGCUCAGCUGAGCUGACAGCAUCUGACAGUGUGAGAAAAACAGCCUUUCAACCUUUAAAUUGAGCACAUUUGCCAUGGAUUCAAUGGAGACUAAUGACAUAAAAGCUCAUUUUACUUUUUUUUUUAACAGAGAGACUCUGCAAAUAGAAAUUUCACAUUUUCACGGGGGUUUUUGCUCUUUCAGGGAUUUUUUUUCCCCUCUUCCUUUCCUUAUGCAAGGAAAAUGCCCAGUUUCUAGCACAAGACAGACCUGGAAGGUUUGUACUUCACUGUGGGCUUGGGAGUCCUGCAAAAGAAUGGCUGUGCAGGAGCUUUCAUGGAGCUCCUGAGCCAAAAUCAGAGGAAUAAGGCAGAGAGCAGUAAGGGCUCCUGGGCAAAUGUGAGCAUUUCACAGGAGGGAAGGAUGGAAGGAAUCAGCCAGCUCAGCCCAUUGAAAGAAAAGCUCCAGGAGAUCUGCAGCAAACCUGAAAUGUUUCAGGGAUAAAAAUUUCCAGAAGGUUAAAAGGUAUCCUGGUUAAAAGCCAUUGUUGGUACAAAGAUAAAAGGAAAUAAACCAGCCACAGAUAAAUUUGGCCUGGAAAUUAGAAAAAGCUAAUUGCAUUUCAUAGAAUGUUUCUGGUUUGUUCUUCCAGAUGGAAAGAGAAGCUCAGGUUAGUGCAGGAAUGCUACAGGCUGCAAGUGCAGGAGGAUGGCAGUGGAUGCUCAGCAAACUCUCCUCCAUGCUUUUGUCUCUGGCCCCACUUUUAAAAAGGAAAAACCUUUCCAGGGAGGUUUUCCUAACAACCAAAAAAAAAAAAAAA